rnacentral:rRNA from 1 species
AACGAACGCUGGCGGCAGGCUUAACACAUGCAAGUCGAACGAGAAGCUGGCUUCGGUCAGUGGAGAGUGGCGCACGGGUGAGUAACGUGUGGGAAUUUGCCUUUCGGUACGGGAUAACGUUUGGAAACGGACGCUAAUACCGUAUGAUGUCUACGGACUAAAGAUUUAUCGCCGAAAGAUGAGCCCGCGUAGGAUUAGGUAGUUGGUGGGGUAAUGGCCUACCAAGCCGACGAUCUUUAGCUGGUCUGAGAGGACGAUCAGCCACACUGGAACUGAGACACGGUCCAGACUCCUACGGGAGGCAGCAGUGGGGAAUCUUGGACAAUGGGGGCAACCCUGAUCCAGCCAUGCCGCGUGUGUGAAGAAGGCCUUCGGGUUGUAAAGCACUUUCAGCAGGGAGGAAGGCUUACCCCUAAUACGGGUGAGUACUUGACGUUACCUGCAGAAGAAGCACCGCUAAUUU